AUUGAACGCUGGCGGCAGGCUUAACACAUGCAAGUCGAGCGAGCGGCGGACGGGUGAGUAAUGUCUGGGAAACUGCCUGAUGGAGGGGGAUAACUACUGGAAACGGUAGCUAAUACCGCAUACCAUCAGAUGUGCCCAGAUGGGAUUAGCUAGUAGGUGGGGUAAUGGCUCACCUAGGCGACGAUCCCUAGCUGGUCUGAGAGGAUGACAACGCACACGGGAACGGAUAAACGGUCCAGACUCGUACGGGAGGCAGCAGUGGGGAAUAGUGAACAGUGGGCGCAAGCCUGAUGCAGCCAUGCCGGGUGGGGGAAGAAGGCCUUCGGGUUGUAAAGCACUUUCAGCGAGGAGGCGUUACUCGCAGAAGAAGCACCGGCUAACUCCGUGCCAGCAGCCGCGGUAAUU
rnacentral:rRNA from 1 species